rnacentral:rRNA from 1 species
UACGUAGGGCGCAAGCGUUGUCCGGAAUUAUUGGGCGUAAAGAGCUCGUAGGUGGUUUGUCGCGUUGUUCGUGAAAACCGGGGGCUUAACCCUCGGCGUGCGGGCGAUACGGGCAGACUUGAGUACUGCAGGGGAGACUGGAAUUCCUGGUGUAGCGGUGGAAUGCGCAGAUAUCAGGAGGAACACCGGUGGCGAAGGCGGGUCUCUGGGCAGUAACUGACGCUGGAGGAGCGAAAGCGUGGGGAGCGAACAGG